AAACAGGGCGUUACAUAUAAGGAGUUUGAAAAGCAAGUUAUGGAUGCGUGGGAAGGUAUAAACCAAGAAUUGCUUAUGCCAACAGCUCCAGUGCCCAUGUAUGUGUCUGCUUAGUUUUAUUCUUUAACCAUAAGGAAGAAGAUGCAUUUACUUUUUAACGGCAUGACUACGUUGAAUGGUGUUACUGAUUUGCUCCUUACUGCAGUGUGAUUAAAUAAGUUUUAGUGUUAACUU
rnacentral:lncRNA from 1 species